AAGUUCUAGGUUUCCCCUCUUCUUCACAGUUUCUUCAUUUCCAUAUAGCCUUGUAUUUUCUAACCAUUCAUACCAUUACAUUACAAGCUAAUAAAGUCCUUUUGAUCUAGAUGAAACCAAAGAGUUGAGCAUGGUCACUUAGAGUCUUUUCAAAGUUAAGAAUAGAGGUUGACAUAUCAUGACUGAGUGAAACAGGAUAGCC
rnacentral:lncRNA from 1 species